rnacentral:rRNA from 1 species
AAGGCUUCAGUACGACCCAGUCAGAACUAUAAGUCUCAAAGCCCCGACGAGUAGGGUGGCGUGCCGGUGCGCGUUGAAGGCCAAGACGUGAGUCAGGCUGGAGCCGCCGGUAGUGCAGAUCUUGGUGGUAGUAGCAAGUACUCUGGUGAACCAACCUGGAGCUGUGAGGUCUGGAUCAGGGUUCCAUGUCAACAGUGAUUGAACAUGGGUGAGUCGAUCCUAAGCCAACUGUGAAAGCAGUGACAUCCCGACAAAGGGGCAUUACAUGCGCUUUCUCUCUCGCUGGCACUGUCUGUAUGACGAUAAAGUGUCUGUCUGGUACGGAAAACGCGCGCACGCACGGUGAUCACUACAAAUACGUGUGAGUGUGUGCGCGGCUGUCUUGUUACGCUCAUAAGCGUUGUUGCUCUCUGGGAUAAAGGAAAAAGCGAGAGAGAGUUAUAGCUCCUGCAUGAGCCCCCUGCGUCUGGUUCUAUGUCUGGCGAAAGGGAAUGGGGACUUUGUUCCUUGACCGGUCCCGGCACCCUCGAUUGGCUUUGCCAAUUAAUGGUCCAUGCAAAUGGAACCAGGCCACAGCCGCCGGCAGUCGCCCGAGGAAGAGUUUUCUUUUCUGCUUAACGCACGAGGUCAUCCCUGGAAACAGUUCGGCUGGCGAAAGGGUGCCCCGUUGCGGCAGAGCGCCACGACUGUCGUGCGCGUCUCGGUGUUCCUGCCGGUCCGUGAAGACGUGGUCGAGGGGAUUGCUCUUGUAUCAACGAAACGCCCGACAAGUUCGGGACGGACCGUACCCUAUAUCCGCAUCUGGUCUCCAAGGUUCGUAGCCUCUGCAGAGUCAGACACAUGUAGGUAAGGGAAGUCGGCAAACUCGAUCCGUAACUUCGGGAAAAGGAUUGGCUCUGAGGGCCGAGCUGGGCCGGGCCUUGCCUGCAAAGCAGUACCUAUAGUGACCGGAGUUUCAGGAGUGCGAGGGGCUCUAGUAGCUGCUUGGGCGUGUGUGCGUUCGCGCGUGCGCGCGUGUGGGCACGAACGAGUCCACCGCUCCGCUCCAACCACGAACGGCUGUGACGGCAAGGGCUCUGGGCGGGAGCGAUCAAUCCGUUGGCCCCCAGCUCGUCUGGGUGGCGGCGGUGCUCCGUCUGACCCAUACGGCUCCAGCGGCUAGCGGCUAACUCAGAACUGUCAUGGACCAAGGGAAUCCGACUGUCUAAUUAAAACAAAGCGUCGUGACGGCCCCUGUUGGGUGUUGACGCGACGUGAUUUC